GCGGAUGUAGCUCAACUGGGAGAGCACCGGAUUUUAUCCGGAGGUUGUGGGUUCGAGUCCCGUCGUCUGCACCA
rnacentral:tRNA from 1 species